rnacentral:lncRNA from 1 species
CAAUAGCCAGACCAUAAAGAGACGUCCUAGGGUGGAGACCCGGUUUCGCAAAAACAGACGUCCUAAGCAGCGGAGAGUAUUGUGGACGCGUUUGCCCCUGCGAACCGCCCGUUCGCGUGCGUCCCUUCGCGUGCGGCCUCGUUCGUCGCCCGCAUUGAAGGCUCGCAGGGGCCUCGUUCGUCGCCCGCAUUGAAGGCUCGCGUGCGUCCGUUCGCGCAGUUCAGGUAAACGAAAAAAAAGCGCCAACAAAAGCGCGUUGAAAGUCAAAGGAAAAAAAAGGAAAAAAAGCGGCAAACAAUGUGCUCAACGCGGCGAACAGGCUCCAAACGCGGCUACAAGCACGGACACGUCCAAAUCAACGAAAUAAGCGCGUGCCAUCCCUGCCCGCACACGCACAGUACCAUGAAAAAACAUGAAAAUCUACUCAGUGCCAAAAAAUAGCGCGGCCACCAGGGAUCGAACCGACCCCCUAACAGCCAUCCACCCAACUCGCGCUUGCUAGCCAGUAGAACUACAAAUCUUUCCUAGAUAACAUGCACCCCGCAGCUUAUUUAAUAGGGGUAAAGUAGAAAAAAUACCCCCUAAUUAAUGACUUCUUGGUUAUCACAAUCUUAUCCUAAACGUCCAUUUUUUCAGUAUGGAGGGAGUAUUAAGAAAGACAGGAGGCGUGGCUCGUCGGAGGUCAGUUUUCAGCGCUUGAUGUAGUGAUCCUACUUACCUGUUCUUUGUUGCCUCGAGCAUUCAGCAGUAGAAGCUAAUAAGAGGAACAGUCAAUCAACCGGAAGCUGAAGAAAAAGUUAAGAUAGGUGACUGCUUAACUCAUACGGCUAGCUAUAGUACACUCAGCAUGCAAUGGAAGCCCCUGUAAAACUGUAAUGAUAGAAUCACGUGCACGGGGAUU